UGAUUUUUUAGACCUGUGGGCUCAAAUGAGAGAGGCCCAAGUCCAAAAUUUUUCUGUUAUAUUUUAUCUAUUUAUAUAUUUAUUUAUUUAUUUAUUAUUUAUUUUUUUCGUUCCUUUUUUUUUAAACACGUGGGCUUCGCCUAGCGAGCAUGACAGUUCAAGAAAUUCCUCUGAGCGUGGGUGAUUCUGGUGGCUUUUCUUGGGACUCGCUAGGUGACCCAUUCUGCUCGCCUAGCGAACAUGACAACUCAUGAACAAACUUUUGCUCCUUCAAGAUUAACAUUUUGACUGACGAAUAGACCCCAUUUGAACCUGUUGGAAGUAUCUCAAGC
rnacentral:lncRNA from 1 species